CCCUAGCCGGGAACCUCGCCCUGCUCCUCUGCGCCCGCGAACGCUUCCCGCCCCUCUAGGAGCCCCGGCCGGGUUCUGCCCUGCAGGGCGGCUGCGGAGACCCGCACCCUGAGCCCGCCGCGGAUGCCUGCGAGCCGGGCCUCCCCGGGAGCGUCAGGCCUGCCCCGCAGGGGCCGGGCUGCAGCAGCUUGGGCACCGGCCGGGAAAGUGCGUCUUCGGACCCCUGGCUGCAGACCCUUUUCUAACUCUGCGUGGAACGCAGUUCCUGGGAUCUUCAGAGCGUCUAUCUGCCUUAACAGCACUUGGACUGCAAGAUUUACGGAGUAGUUACAAAGCAAGUACGGUGUUCCCAUACGUCCUUCGAUCGUCCUAAUGUCAGCAUCUUCAUAACCACGGCACUUUUGUUAAAAUAAAGCCCCUACCGGGAAAAGAGAGCCACCCUGACUGACACAGGGAGUGAAUGCCUCAAGCCCCAUAUCCACUCCCUCUUCUCCCUGUGGGGCCCUGAAAAGCACCUCCGAAAGAUUCUCCAGUUUAGAGGAAGAAAUUGUGGAACCCUCUGGGCAAAGGCACAAGCAGGGCUGAGCACGGUUUGGGGAGUGAAAAGAUGACCGACUGAUAGAAACCCCCUCCUCCGGGCCGGAGCACUGCUCCGCGACAGACCCUGGAGAAAGGAGAGUCAGAUGCGUGUGAUCAGCUACGCUUCUCUCCUUCUUUAUGGCUCUGAAACCAAGUGUUCAUCAAAUGAUAUUAACUUCACUAACAGCAAACUUAGCUUCCCAGAACAGAAAUAAGCUGCGCUGUACGUGAAUUCGGGAGAGCCAGCCUGACCCCUCACCCUGUUGAGGGUCUACGUAACCGGAGGACAUGAGAUGAGACAGAGGCGCUGAGUCUCCUGCAAGGCAAGUAUUUCGCUCUGAAACACGAGAGAGAUGCUGAAAGAAUGUGGAGAUUUAAGAAAUGGUGCGAGCAGUGAUUCCUGCUGGUGUCUGGGGCUGAGUUGCAAAGAGAACAAACAAAGCCGUGAGAUGUCUCAGCACACCUGGCCGAGGCUGCAGGAGUCCGAUUCCACAGGAACGCACGGCAGCCAGCGCCCAGGAGGCUGUCUGUCCUUCCUCAGGGUAGAGUGUGGCUGCUUCUAGCUGAGAAGGCUCCUGUUCCUCACGAGUUCUGUGUUAUUUUGGAGGCCGAGUGAGGCUGGCCAGCAUGCUGGGAGUGUGCUAGAAGGGGCCUCGCCUACAGGGCUGUCCCAGACACACCAGCUGCUUCCUUAUUAGGCUUCCCUAAUAUAGUAUCCUCUUUCCAAGCAUAGAAGUUGCUCUGCUUUCGGCAUCUGACAUGUUGGAGACAAGUUCAGCUAAAAGUCUACCUCUAAAAGUCAGUUUACAAACACUCUGGAAAAGGCUCGGCCUGGAAGCAGAAUGGGCUCUUUCCUAGCCCCCUUGGUGUCACUACCCCUUCCUUUCCCCACACCUGCGUUCUCCCUAUGACCUGGAAAUACGCAGGCGCCUUUGAAAACAACACUGCGGCAGGCAUGGUGCUGCACACCAGCGCGGGGCUGAGGCAGUGAGAUUUCAAGUUUGAGGCCAGGCUGGGCAACUCAUUGAGACCCCAUAUCCAAAACCAAACAAACAGCAGAUAAAAGGGCCGAGGUGUGGCUGAGUGGUGCAGUGCUUCCCCAGCGUGCACGAGGCCCUGGGUUCAAUCCCCGCCACCAACCUACCCGCCCCACCCCCGCGCCCUCCUGCAAGGCCCCGGGACAGAGAACAGCCGGGGAAGACUCUCAGGAGGUUCCAGGCCUUUUACCUCGCAGGCGCAGCAGUGCUUUAAGUUCCCAAUGCCCGAAUCAACGAACACACUGCAGCACUGGGAGGUUCUACCCAGAAAAGAGCAGGCGAGAAGCCCCGGCCCUCACUGUGCUCAGAG